GAAACUGGGUCAGUUGGGAGGUCUUCAAUGGAAGUUCCACCUCUCACCCGGAAGUAGUGACGAAAGCCCUCCUUUCAGUCUCCAAAGGGCUGUUCAAAGCAGAGUCACUUGAAGAUCUGAAAAGCACGCAGUGAUUAGUCUUUGCGGCAAGAAGUUUUCCUUCUAAUGUUUCUGAGAUGUCCUAAAAAUCUGCAGGAACACAAGUCUCCUCUUCGAGGUCUUUGAGUGGUUUUGGCGUUCCCAGUUUUCUCCCUGCUGCCUCAUUCAGAACACAACGACCUCCUUCUGCCCUUCUGCUUCUUCUCCGUCCUUCUGGAAUUUACUUAACGAGCACUCACAGACGUCCAGGUUAAGAUGGUGGACUGAAAACAACCGAAAGUCUGCACUUCCCAACCGCAGUGAGAGAAUACCAAGGGGAGAAACCAGUCAAAAUUCCUCAGACUCGGUCAAAGGAAAAGGCAGAAUUUCCUGACAUCCAAUUCAAAAUGUGCAGUCCCACUCGAUAAGGAGAGAAGAGGAUGAUGGGAAGAGAUGUGAAGAGAAGGAGGGGGAGGAGAGAAGAGAGAAGUUUCUUCCUGCUCAUCUCAACUCUGUUGUAAAACUUAAUCUCUAGUUCAACCCCGGAACACAAGCUUGGUAGGUAAAUCAUAUGAGAGAAGGUUUAAUUAAUUAUAAGACAAGCUGAGUCAAGACACAAAAGAUGUGCCUGAAUUGGAAAAUAUAUCAGAAGUAUGCCUGUUUAAUUAUUUAUUGAUUGAUUGAUUAAUUUGACUUAAGUUAAGGUCAUCUGGAAAGAUGGAGUCUCACUUGAGAAAAAUUACUUCCUCAGACUUCCCAGUAAACAGAUCUGGGUGGGGGAGGUAUUUUCUUGAUUAAUGAUUGAUAUGGGAGGGUCCAGCCCACUGUGGGUGGUGUCACACCUGGGAAGGUGUUCCUGAUUGCAAGCUGAGCAAGCCAUGGGGAACAAGCCAGGAAGCAGCAUUCUUCUAUGGCUUCCACUUAGUUCUUGCCUCCAGGUUCCUGCCUGGAAUCCUUCGCCUGACUUUCCAGGACAAUAGACUACUGGCUGCAGGAUGAAAUGAACUCUUUUCUCCCCAGGUUGUUUUUGAUGGGAGUGUUUAUCACAGCAGUGAAAUCCUAGCUCAGACAGAAAGUUCGGUAUCCAUUUGCCGGUAGGAAACUAAAACGAACGGCAUGAGCGGCCAUUAUAUUCCAAGAACCUGGGCACCUUGCUCUGUGCUGGGAACAUUCCUGUACAGAAUGACGUGAGCGGCCAGGAUAGUGUCAACGGGGAGCUGUGGAUACAUAGUAAGAGGUGGGCUCUGUGCUGCAGACAAUUCUCUAGAAAAGAGAUAAUGGAAAAGUCAGGUGAAAUCUCCCUACAAAACGAUAACAGCAUAAACACAGUAAAAAUGAUUCAUUUUUUUUUAAUUUGAGAAUUUCACACAGGCAUAUAGAAUACAUUUUGAUUUGACCCACUGUCUUUCUCUUCCCUCUAGGUCCUCUCCUAACCACCACCCCUUUUUCUCCAACUUCAUGUGCUCCUUUUUUGGUUUUCUUUUUUUUUUUUUUUUAACCCAGCGAGGUGCUGCCUGUGCAAGCAGACGCUGAUUUAUGGUCUAGCUUAAUUGUAGCAAUAUAGGUAUAAUUAGCACUGCUGUGAUACCUCACUAAUUUGUAAGUUGAGUUCUCUUGGUUGGGUUUUCAAAUACAAAGCUCAAUAUAUUUAAAAGUCGAAGAGAAGACAAAUGAGCAUUAAGGGAAAUCUUCAGACCUUAGAACCUAAAAUAUGUGUUAAGAAGCAAAACCCAACCAUUAACAUCUUCCUGGCUAAAUAAAUUCAGACUUGGUCACCAACAAAGAAGUACAUUUUGAGAUGACAAAAGCCAUGACAACAGCCCCAUAGAAAAAAGGCAGGGCAAAUAAAGCCAGUGGAUCAGCACACAGGCCAGACAAACACAUCAUCUGUCCUUGAAAUGAAGAGCUCUGUGUUGCGGUAUAAUUUAAAAAACACUGCUUUUAUCCCAUACUAGUGCUGGUACUGUAGGGCCACUGGCAUCUGUGGGAUAUUUUCAUCUCAGUCAACAAAGCGUCUCACCCGCUAAGCUCCAUCCCAUCUCACACUGCCGAUGGCUACUCUCUGAGCCUGGUGGCAAUCUCUCUACCCAUUUAGCUCCCAAGGCAGGUUGCCUCCAUGCCAGGCAUACACAUCCCAAUUCCGUGGCGGGCCCAGUAUGUCUGGCCACCACACACUCUCUUGAACUGAUUUAAGUUGUCACAUGAAAAAACACAUCGCACAAUGACCUCUGAUUCAAUUGAUAAGAUAUAAUUGCCCAUCUAAACAGCACAAAAUCCUAUACCCAAGAAUAGUCAUAUCAACCUAUAACCGUGCAGAGAGAAAUCUUAACAUCUGCCUCCAUAUUCUCUGGACUGCUGUCCCCCUCGCUCCAGUCUCCUCCCUUCUCCUCUCCUCUCUAAAACUUUUCUCCCACCCAUCCUUCCUUCUUGUCCAGUGACAGGCCUUGUUCUAUCCUGUACCUGCCUUCACCUGCAUAAUGACAUCAACCUACAGCUCUGCACACAGGGUCCAAAGAUACUUAAAGAACCAUAAAAAUUCAUUUUUUAAAGAAAACAACUGAAUCUAUAGAUGUCUAGAAAUGAAAACAACAUGUACCAAGACAGGGUGUGCUGGCUAGUCUUAUGACAACUUGACCUAUCAACUAGAGUCAUCUGAAAGGAGGGACUCAAUUGGGAAAGUGGGAUCCUCCAUAGGAUCCAGCUUUAAGGUAUUUUCUUAAUUAGUUAUUGAUGGGGAAAGGCUCAGCCUUGGGCUGGUGGUCCUGGGUUCUAUAAGAAGGCAGGCUGAGAAAGCCAUGGGAAGCAAUCCAGUAAAAAGCAUCUUUCCAUAGCUGUGCGUCAGCUCCUGCCUCCGAGUUCCUGUCUGUGUGAGUUCCUGUCCUGACUUCCUCUGGUGAUGAACAGCAGUGUGGAAGUGUAAGCUGAAUAAACCCUU